rnacentral:pre_miRNA from 1 species
CCUUAUCGUUCCCGCGCCCAGCUGCCAUGUUUGAAUAAUGCUGGACGGAGAACUGAUAAGGGC